rnacentral:lncRNA from 1 species
GUGGGAGUACAUAGUGAGCUGUUCUUAGGACGUGAACUUCCCAGAAGGUCACUCCUGGAGGCCAGUAUUGCCUAAUGGUUAAGAGCCCAAGUCCCAGAGUCAAAACUACAUAGGCUAGAAUCCUAGCUUCCCAACUUAAUAACUGCAGUCUUAGGAUAGUUACUUACCUUGGCUUCUUUACCUAUAAAAUGGGACUAACUAUGAAUAAUGUAUCAGGAGGGUUGUUGUGAACAUUAGAAGAGUUAAUGAAUAGAAAGUUUUCAUUACUCUACCUGGUCCAUGGAAUCGAUCAGCACAUGGCAAUUGUUAUAGUCUAGCUGUUGUUGGCAGUAACAUCCACAUAGCUCAGGUGAAAUUGGUUGGAAGUUGCCAUAAAGGCCAGGGUUUUCUAGAUCAAAGCUGGAAGGGACAGGGUCAAAGUACAGUCUGGGAGUCAAGGUCAUGGAUGAAAAUGAAGGAAGCCAGGGCCUCAUCAGAGUGUGAGUGACUUGGAGGAUCAGUGAGUGUUGGACCCUGGAGUCUGGGAAGAAGAGUGUCAGAACACAGGAGUGUAACAUGGUUCUAGCACUGCAGAGUAGAAGACAUUUUCCCUUCAGGCCCCUGCCGCACUGAGUCCACACUUUUCUAAGUUCGGGCUUCCUCAGAACCCUAUUACUUACAAGGGAGUGAACUAUACAGACAGCAUAUAUAUAUUUUAGCUGCUAAAAAGGAUGGUAGCUCUCAUCGUAAAUAGUCAUUAUUUUUCAGUCUCUUUGAGUUAAGGCAUUAUGAUUUAUAUCCCCAAAGAUUAAUUGAUCCUGAAAAAUUGAUAACAGAGAAUUUCUGGACCCCCAUAUUGGGACCCCUAGACCUAUACUUGCAUGAUCACCUGCUUUCCCCACACCAAUAUGCACUCACCAGGUACGUCUCCAAAAGGCCCUUCCUCUUCCUCAGUGUUGCGUCUUUCCACACGCAGUGUCUACAUCCACAGCACGUGCUAACAACAUGUUGGAACAUUGGAGGCCUGGGUUUGAUACAAAACUACAU